CAGCAGCCGCGGUAAUACGAAGGGGGCUAGCGUUGCUCGGAAUUACUGGGCGUAAAGGGCGCGUAGGCGGACAGUUCAGUCGGGGGUGAAAGCCCGGGGCUCAACCUCGGAAUUGCCUUCGAUACUGGCUGUCUUGAGUAUGAGAGAGGUGUGUGGAACUCCGAGUGUAGAGGUGAAAUUCGUAGAUAUUCGGAAGAACACCAGUGGCGAAGGCGACACAUUGGCUCAUUACUGACGCUGAGGCGCGAAAGCGUGGGGAGCGAACAGGAUUAGAUACCCGAGUAGUCCCUGUCUCUUAUAC
rnacentral:rRNA from 1 species